rnacentral:rRNA from 1 species
CAAUGGAUAGUACAAAGGGUCGCGAAGCCGCGAGGUGGAGCUAAUCCCAUAAAACUAUUCUCAGUUCGGAUUGUAGGCUGCAACUCGCCUACAUGAAGCCGGAAUCGCUAGUAAUCGUGGAUCAGCAUGCCACGGUGAAUACGUUCCCGGGCCUUGUACACACCGCCCGUCACACCACGAGAGUUUGUAACACCCGAAGUCGGUAGGGUAACCUUUAUGGAGCCAGCCGCCGAAGGUGGGACAGAUAAUUGGGGUGAAGUCGUAACAAGGUAGCCGUAUCGGAAGGUGCGGCUGGAUCACCUCCUUUCUAAGGAA